rnacentral:rRNA from 1 species
CUGGCGGCGUGCCUAAUACAUGCAAGUCGAACGGUCUUUCUAUGGAAGCUUGCUUCCACUGAGAAGAUAGUGGCGAACGGGUGAGUAACACGUGGGUAACCUGCCCAUAAGAGGGGGAUAACAUCCGGAAACGGGUGCUAAUACCGCAUAGUUUUCUUGAUCGCAUGAUCGGGAAAGGAAAGACGGCCUUUGUGCUGUCGCUUAUGGAUGGACCCGCGGCGUAUUAGUUAGUUGGUGAGGUAACGGCUCACCAAGACGAUGAUACGUAGCCGACCUGAGAGGGUGAUCGGCCACAUUGGGACUGAGACACGGCCCAAACUCCUACGGGAGGCAGCAGUAGGGAAUCUUCCGCAAUGGACGAAAGUCUGACGGAGCAACGCCGCGUGAGUGAAGAAAGGUUUUCGGAUCGUAAAACUCUGUUGUCAGAGAAGAACAAGUUGGAGAGUAACUGCUCCAGCCUUGACGGUAUCUGACCAGAAAGCCACGGCUAACUACGUGCCAGCCGCGGC